UGGGCAAUCUGCCCUUCACUCUGGGACAAGCCCUGGAAACGGGGUCUAAUACCGGAUACCACUCCUGCCUGCAUGGGCGGGGGUUGAAAGCUCCGGCGGUGAAGGAUGAGCC
rnacentral:rRNA from 1 species